UAAACUUGUAAUUGACUUUAAGCAAUCUCGCUUCGCUUAACCUUAAACUUGCAAACUCACUCAAACACACAAGGUUGGGAAUUAGGCGUCUAUAAUAAGUUAGAAAAGCAGGACUCGCAUUGUUUUGAGUGUCUAAAACUUAAUCACAAUGUCUCAAAAUGUAUCUGUCAAACACACAAAGAAUUCAAGGACAAUAAACUGUUGCAGGACAGGCAGAGCAUUGUACCGUGUUCUAUCAACGGCGCUUUUAGGGCAACUUGUGAAACGGCUAAAGUGUGUUGAAGACAAAAUCAAGUGAAAGAGCAAGUAUUAAAAAAGG